CGCGUAGGUGGUUUGUUAAGUUGGAUGUGAAAGCCCCGAGCCCAACCUGGGAACUGCAUCCAAAACUGGCAAGCUAGAGUACGGUAGAGGGUGGUGGAAUUUCCUGUGUAGCGGUGAAAUGCGUAGAUAUAGGAAGGAACACCAGUGGCGAAGGCGACCACCUGGACUGAUACUGACACUGAGGUGCGAAAGCGUGGGAAGCAAACA
rnacentral:rRNA from 1 species